rnacentral:rRNA from 1 species
UACGUAGGGUGCGAGCGUUGUCCGGAAUUAUUGGGCGUAAAGAGCUCGUAGGCGGUGUGUCACGUCGGCCGUGAAAACCUGCAGCUUAACUGUGGGCGUGCGGUCGAUACGGGCAUCACUGGAGUUCGGCAGGGGAGACUGGAAUUCCUGGUGUAGCGGUGAAAUGCGCAGAUAUCAGGAGGAACACCGGUGGCGAAGGCGGGGUCUCUGGGCCACUACUGACGCUGAGAAGCGAAAAGCGUGGGGGAGCGAAACAGGG